GGGGGUGGGGGUGGGGGGGGUGCGUGGGGGGGUGGGGGGGGAGCUGGGAGAAGGGAGCUGGGUGUGACCCAAUGCCAUCGAUUUCAUAACCCACUCCUACAGUUAAAAAAAACAAGGCCAAAAAACUUGUUCAUGGUACUUUUUUUUUUUUCUCAUUCUUUCUUAACACGGAUUUUAUUUUCUAUGAGCCUCUCUUUCACUUUUGUGGAAAUGCUGCAUUUCUACUCCUGCUCUAUUGUAACGGUACCCAUGAAAGACCAUCAAGAGAAUGAGGCCUGUUGUCAUUCUGUUGUGUCAACACAGGAUGCCCUUUCCUAUACAACCACCACCAGAUUCUCUGUGUAAGGAAGAGAACUUGCUCCAUGGCCCUGCACAGCCUUUGCAUUACACUAAUCCAAACUACACUCUUCUUUCCAAAAGAUGUCAUCCAAAGGGUGGACUUUAUGGGUGGAUCCUCAGCAGCCAUCCUCCCCUCAGCCCCCAGCUGACAGGUCUGUCCCUGUAAGUAGCUCAGGAAAGGGCAGGCGUAAGUGUGGACCUUGAAAGGCAUGGAAGGCCUGCUGGGUUCUUCUAAGAAAAAGCUAGUGCAGGAAGAUGAGCCCCGCCUCCCUGGUGCCCAUGAACAGGGAAACCUGUUACCCAGCCAUCAGUGGCAGUCACUGACCAGUCUCUGGAAAACCAGCCCUGGAAUCGGGCUGAUACUGGACAACAGAUUAGAGAAACCCAAAGAGCAUGGUUCUUAGGGACACUGUCUAAUCCUCAAAGUGCCCUGCUUUUGGACUUCCUCUUGUAGAGUUAAUUUCCUAGAUGUUUAAACCAAUUUGAUGUUGGUUUCUUCUCACCUGCUGUUGAAAACAGACUUCUUCUUCUUAGUGUGGAUACCUCUGUCCUCUCAACUGACUGUCAAUGUGUGCAAGCACAAAAACUGCCACAAUUAUAGAAGUCACAAAGCACAGGCUGAAUGAACUAACAGAAUGUACAAGCAUGUUGUUGACUGUCUUGUAGCCGAACAAACUCGGGCUCCAGCUUGGUCCUACCACUCCUAGCCCAGGUGGCCUCAGUCCCCAUUUAGGGCUUCAGUGUUUAGUGAUGACAUUUACACAGUUGAACAGAAGGCUGGGCUGGAUGAGGAAAAAACUCUGACCUUGUUACCCUGCAGUGGUGGUAGCAGGGCUGUCGGUGUCCUUGGCACUGGCCCCGUGGCAUACACCCAAAGGCUGCCCUCGGUCCACACCCACACAUGGGUCCAGGCUGCAUCCAAGGGAGAAUGAGUGGUCAGCUGAUCUGUCAGCCUGACCACAAUUCAAAGCCUACUUCUGAUAUGUGAAAGAAUUAUUACCAGGAGCCAGGAACUCAACCAAUGUCCCUGGACACUUUGUUUCUAGUGGGCUUUGUAUUAGUAAUCAUGAACAAGAAUUCUACCUACUUACUAAGACAAAUCCAGGCUGGAAAAACAUUGCAGGGAAGGUGGGAAGCUGCUAGAAAGUAAGUGCCUGCUUUCAGUGCAACUCCAGUUUCAUAAAAUUUGAUUCCCAGAAGCAGGCAGAGGCCAACCCUGUAAAGGUCUGUGUGUUUUUCUGACCCAUGUAUGAAGAAUUCAGGGAGAGGUCAUUCAAAACAAAUGGGGGGGGGGUGGUGACCAAAGGGGCCCAGCCUGCCUGUGUCAGGCCCUCCUCAGUCCUGGUUUCUCUUUCUUGCCAUUUUCAUGGAUAAGAAGGAAGGUCUUUUUUUGCAUAUUGUCUUCAUCUUGUAGUGUCACAGAGCAGGGCCCAUGACUUAUUUCACUUUGUACAAUGCAUGCCCUUCCCCCACAGGUUUAUGGUUUCCAGUCUGCUUUCUUGAGCAUUUGAUUUGUGCUUUGUCCCUGAACUCUUUGGAAAACUGUAAUAGUGUCCGUGUGACUGGUGAAGACACCGAGGCUCGGAGCUACUGAAGCGAAGCAUCAGAAAUAGGAUGUCAUAUGGUACAAGAGGCCUUCGGAUGACUUCCAGAUGCAUAAUUCUGCCCGGAGCUCAGACACUGACAAUGGCCAGUGACACACAGCAGACUGCGGAAGCUCCCACUACCUGGUGCCAAAGUCUUGCUGUACUUUUCAAAGGCUCAGAGGCUCUAGAAGGCCCACUGAAAUAUGACGAUGAAAAUGGUUGCAUUGGAAUUGAUCCCUCAAAAAUUAAUAAAAAGAUCUGUCUAAUCA